rnacentral:rRNA from 1 species
GACGAACGCUGGCGGCGUGCCUAAUACAUGCAAGUCGAGCGAAGCGGCGGAUGGGUGAGUAACGCGUGGGUAACCUGCCCUUAAGUCUGGGAUACCAUCUGGAAACAGAUGCUAAUACCGGAUACUAAAGGAUGGACCUGCGAUGCAUUAGCUAGUUGGUAAGGUAACGGCCUACCAAGGCGAUGAUGCAGAGCCGAGUUGAGAGACUGGUCGGCCACAGUGGGACGUGGACGCGGCCCAAACUCCUGCGGGAGGCAGCAGUAGGGAAUCUGCCACAAUGGACGAGAAUCUGAUGGAGUAACGCCGCGUGAGUGAAGAAGGUUUUCGGAUCGGAAAGCUCUUUUGUUGGUGAAGCGGGAAUCAACCAGGAAGUCACGGCUAACUACGUGCCAGCAGCCGCGGUAAUAC